UAGGGAAUCUUCGGCAAUGGGGGCAACCCUGACCGAGCAACGCCGCGUGAGUGAAGAAGGUUUUCGGAUCGUAAAGCUCUGUUGUAAGAGAAGAACGUGUGUGAGAGUGGAAAGUUCACACAGUGACGGUAACUUACCAGAAAGGGACGGCUAACUACGUGCCAGCAGCCGCGGUAAUACGUAGGUCCCGAGCGUUGUCCGGAUUUAUUGGGCGUAAAGCGAGCGCAGGCAGUUUAAUAAGUCUGAAGUUAAAGGCAGUGGCUUAACCAUUGUUCGCUUUGGAAACUGUUAAACUUGAGUGCAGAAGGGGAGAGUGGAAUUCCAUGUGUAGCGGUGAAAUGCGUAGAUAUAUGGAGGAACACCGGUGGCGAAAGCGGCUCUCUGGUCUGUAACUGACGCUGAGGCUCGAAAGCGUGGGGAGCAAACAGG
rnacentral:rRNA from 1 species